AAACCAAGCAAAUCUUUUUUAUACAUCCAAAGUACAUUUGGUCUAGCGGCAACUUUGGAUUGAGAUAGCAGCCAAUGCAAGUUAACAACCUGAUCUCGAGCUCUAUCGCCUACGACAACGAAAAAACUCCGCUGUUUUUCCUAAUCUUUGUCAGUAACUUAUAAACUUGAUAGAAUUACCUGGCACCCAUUUUUUAUGAGAGUCGGAAUACGAGAGUCAAGUGCUUUCUUGGGCAUCUUUACUUUAAAUAGUUUUGACUACUGGCAAAGACAAAAUUCUGCUGAAACUUUUAUAUGGGAAGCUUGGAGUUGGUUA